UCCGAGUUGACCCCGGCAGUCUCCUACGAGUCCCCGCCAUAACGCGCUGACAACAUAGGAUAAGGGUUGCGCUCGUUGCGGGACUUAACCCAACACCUCACGGCGCGAGCUGACGACAACCAUGCACCACCUGUGCACGGCCCCGAAGGACACCAUAUCUCUAUGGCUUUUCCGUGCAUUUCAAGCCUUGGUAAGGUUCUUCGCGUUGCUUCGAAUUAAGCCACAUGCUCCGCCGCUUGUGCGGGCCCCCGUCAAUUCCUUUGAGUUUUAACCUUGCGGUCGUAAUCCCCAGGCGGGGUGCUUAAUGCGUUAGCUACGGCACGGAUUCCGUGGAAGGAACCCACACCUAGCGCCCACCGUUUACGGCGUGGACUAC
rnacentral:misc_RNA from 1 species